CUCUUUAUUGUGCACCGUUUAGCUAUCCAUUUGUUUCUAUUACCAGUGUAAGUUCUCACUUUUUACCAUUAUCUUUCUGUACCAACACUUGAUAAGUAUUAAGGGGAACCUACAUGGUGUGUGACAUUUUCAUAUUGUUUCUUUUCUAUUUCAUUAAUAGUGGAGAUUUGUCCUAAAGAAAUGGAGUCUUUCAGCAAAUUUAAAAUACUUCAUUAUGAGUCAAAUUAUCUAAGUAAAUUCCUCAGGCAUUUUUUGUAUGGGGUUUUGUUCCUCAAUUGGAGUGUUUUGAUUAAGAUUAAUCUUCCUGUCACGACAGAUGCAUGUACUGGUUAGGAUUGCCAGGGGUAAACCUCUUCCAUGGGUAAUUCCUUGUCACAAAAUGCCCACGGUUUUAUCCUCAAAUUGUUAAAGUUAAUACAGCUAAUAGACCUCCAACUGCUAAACUGUUGGACCGUCUAUUUGUGAAGAUGCCUCUAUCAACCUUUCCAAGCCUUGCAUCUACACACUAGGUUGGAAUUCGGUCGUAAAGCAUUUUUUCAUCCUUACAUGGUUGCACAAAUUGAGGUGAUAUUAUACACUCGUUUGAAUUAGUUUCAAGUGUAAAAUGUAAUGUGUCAAUUAUCACAUUAUUCAUGUGGUAGAUGGCAAAAGGCUGUAGGAGCUAAGCGGUUUUGGAUGAAGAUGCCUGUACCACAUAUUAUUAUGGUAAACUACAUAAUCGUAUUGUACAUUUAGGAUUGGUUCAUACAAUUUCUCACCUUACUAUCACUUAAAUUAGUAGUAAUAUACCUGAUGCAACUUUUCAUUGUACAUGUCUAAUGUACUACCCUAUCUUACCAAAGAUGGAAUACCCUCUGCUAUGUAUCUUAAACAAAUUUUUUGUGCAAUUACUUUAUCGUAUAAGAUCAUACAGUAAGAUCGCUGAUUGGUCACUCUUGGUGCGAUGUUUGUCUCUCUUUUGCACUACCUAUAUUUAGCUGCUUAAUUUGAAGAACUGGUUAAUACUCUUGUUACUAGUAUAAUAUCUUCACUCCUGUUGCUUUUAUACCUCAUUGCAUGAUGCCGGUAUAUGUUUUCUCAUUCUCAUUUAGUCUUGUUUUAAUAAAACUCUUGCUGGAAUUUAACUGGGCAUUCAUCAUACAGAUGUACAGAGAUGUUUGUAUUUGCAUGAACUUUCAAAUGGCGAAAGAACUGGGUAUUGAACGAGAACACAGAGCAUCUGUUUAUUAGGAUCACCUGAUAAGAAAUUUCGGGAUUGGAGAGCAAGCUGGUUGCUAACACCAUCUUCUUGGUUGAACUUGGCUGUAUAAUUUGUUCUAAAAUGUAUUAUAUUAUAUAGCUCGAGUUGGAUUCGGCCUUUUCUUAUGAUUCUUUGUACUAGUAAAUUGUAUAUAUAUCAAGUGAUCUGAAUAUAGCUUAGUUCUUAAAAGAAAAACACAAGAUUCCACAAGGUUGUAAGUUGUAAUGAUAGGGUG
rnacentral:lncRNA from 1 species